ensembl:lncRNA
ACUGUAACCACAAGCUAUAAUACCUUGACUUUAACCACGGGGGACACGGGGGACUUAAGUGCAUGGAAUGGAGGGGGAAUAAUUAUUCUAUAAUACUAUGUAUUCAACAGCGGCUCAGUUCCACAUUUUAAGCCUGCUGGAGCACAUUAAGCAGCAGCAGGACCAGCUGGUGGCCAAGGUCAAUCACCUGAGCAGCAGGGUGCUCAACACCUCAACACCUCAAGAGCCAGAGUGUCCUGAAUGCAUUCAGCUGCCCAUCGAAUCACUGGAAGUGGUGGAUGAGCUUGAAGCAUUCCUGAAAGACGCUGCCAAUGCAGCAGCCAAACAAAGAAUGAUUUCUUCUUUGGCCACGAUUUGUGGGCAAGAUGUGAAGAGAGUGGCGUGGAACAUACUCUCUCGGAUGUUCACUGAAGAAGUGGCCAAGACCAUAAGCUGGAAGGGGGCAAACGGCAAGAGGGCAUUCGGUCACAUGUCGUCAAAGACACUGCUGUACCGUGCUGUACGUGCAAAUGGUUUGUGUCGCACAGCCACAGACACAGACAUUCAACGAUAUGCCAUAAGAUGGUUUAACUUGGUUGCAGACCGUGGUGCGGCGAGGAGGCGCCUGACCAACCGGUCUAACCAGGCUGAGGCCGAUGAUUAGGCUACUUAUGUUCAUGUGUUCUUUUGUUAAAUAAAAUGUUUUAUUUCUUUCA